GUGGGGGUGGGACUGGGGCUGGGGUAGGGGGUGGGGUUUGCUCUCUUCUUUCCUUUUGCAAGUGCUGUAAAUGCCCCCUUCCCCAGGCUGCCUCCUCCAGAUCCCUGCUGUGAAAGUUCAGCUCUCUCACAUUUCCUCUGCUCCCAGAGUCUUCCUUCCAGCUGCUCCCUGAUUGCUUCGGUUGCCCAGUGAUAGCAGAGGAAGAAGAAUGGUGAAAAUUCAGAUUGAGAGCUACACCUCUCUGAACUACACUCUUGCGAACAUACUACAGAAGUGUUUAAACAGGCAUGGCUGCUGCUGCUGAAGAGAUGGCUGAGAGUGUCGAUGACAGAGGCUCAUACACUAUUGAUUAAAGCCCUAACCUUUGCUGCUUCAUCCCAAGAGAGCAAAUUUGUAGAGCUUCCAAGAACCAAAACUCUGCCAUGAAGAUGUUGAUAGCUGG
rnacentral:lncRNA from 1 species